rnacentral:rRNA from 1 species
CAUGCAGGCGGUUUGUUAAGCGAGAUGUGAAAGCCCCGGGCUCAACCUGGGAACAGCAUUUCGAACUGGCAAACUAGAGUUCUUGAGAGGGUGGUAGAAUUUCAGGUGUAGCGGUGAAAUGCGUAGAGAUCUGAAGGAAUACCAGUGGCGAAGGCGGCCACCUGGCAAGUAACUGACGCUCAGAUGCGAAAGCGUGGGUAGCAAACAGGAUUAGAUACCCUGGUAGUCC